rnacentral:miRNA from 1 species
CUAGAUUAUUUACUCUUGAAAACCAUCUACAUAUAAGUGCACCUGUGCAGUUUACACUUGUGUUGUUCAAGAGUCAGCUGUACUGUUGGUG